ACCUCCACUCUCUAUCUAAGCUCAAAGCAUCUCUCAUACAAACCCUAAUCAUCACGCGCAUCUCAUUUCACUUCCUUCACUCCUUCAUAUUCUCCAUUCUUGUUCACAGCACUUUAUGCUUCCUGUGAAGAGGUCAUCGAUAGUUGAAGUCGGAGGAGAUAACGACGGAGUUUCAGUGGAUCCUUUAACGAAGAAGUACAAGACCGCCGCCGCCGCUGCUGGUGGUGAUUCAUCGACGGUGACUAUGGCAGGAGCUGGUUCUGCUACCGGUGAUGUUAGCGCUAACGGUAACGCUACUAAUGGACGUACUGGUGGUGUAUCUCCGGUCGAUCUGCGUAAUCUGUCUGA
rnacentral:misc_RNA from 1 species